rnacentral:snRNA from 1 species
GGAUGUGAGGACAACCUGGUAGAGACCUCUAUCACCCCAUUGAUGACCUGGGUUGAUUUGGCUGAUCUGGCUGGCUAGGUGUGUGUCCCCUUCCUCCCUCAUCACUCUAUUGCAUCCCUCCUAAGGCUGCACGCUCUGUUGCAGAGCACAACCUUCCCCGAUAGAGAGGGACCUGUUCAUCAGCCAAGGCUAUACAGUAGCUGCACUGCCCUGCUAGAACCUCCAGACAAGUUCAGAGAGGGCAGUAAGGCUGCAGCAUCCCUCCACUGCCUUUGUUGAUGCACCAAGCUGCCUCACCCAAA